AUGAGCCAUCUCAGGUCUGAUAUUCAGCUUUGUGCAAAGCUUUACUAUGAAGACUAGAGGACUUUUUGUGAAUAUGAAGAUGAAUUUUCAUAACUGGACUCUCUGUCUCAAGGGAUUGUCUGACUUCUUCACCUCUUCCAGCUGUGAGUUCCCCCCCUGUUUCUGGAUGAUGAAAACCCAUCUCUGGCCCACCAGUAAAAAUAACGACUCCUGCUAUUUCCUGCUAUGUUCUGUAGAGCUAAGAUGAAGUAUCAAAAGAAGAUUCCAAUGUUUUCUGACACCGUUGCAUUCCCUGGCACAGGAAGGAUGAAUGGAACAGAAGCUCACAUGUGGAAGAUUACUGAUUUUUGUAGCAUUGCAGACAGGAGCUGCCAGCAGGGAAGCUGAUACAUGGGGGGCUGAGGAGUGAGUGCUAUAGGAGGAAACCAUCUAGAUCUCUUAGACAGCUCAGUAUGUAAUUCUGGUAAUACUAUGGACUCUUUUCA
rnacentral:lncRNA from 1 species